UUUUUUUUUUUUUUUUGGUUUUUCGAGACAGGGUUUCUCUGUAUAGCCCUGGCUGUCCUAGAACUCACUUUGUAGACCAGGCUGGCAGACUUAAUUCUUACCCGUAAUCCCUCCCUUCUCCCAAAAAACGAUGACCAUGGCAGGCUGCUAAUGAACCCUUCUGGGUUUUACUUGACCCGUUUGUACAAUGACAAAUUGCCCUGUUGCUGCUCCAGGACCUUGUUACCCAGACUAACCUGCACUUGGCACUCCUGUGCCACAGCCUCCCAAGUAGCUGGGAUUUGUUGCUGCUCCUGCUGUGGUCUACUUCUUCAAACAUGCUGUGCUUAAACAGGCCAGCUAUAAUUCUGCUUUUUACCCAUUAAUUUAGAAAAGGGCAUAGUAGGUACUUAUUAAUAGUUGUGGGAAUUCAUAAAUAUUUAUAGCUGGUAGUUGGAAGAAUGUCCCCUUAGAAGACAGUCCAGACUGCUAUAAUCUUGUCAAUGGAUAGUACUCUGAGAAAGGGGGUACUAGCCUACAUGCUCCUAGCCAGGACAUCUGACAGCUUCAGGGUUGGCCAUAUUUUUUGUAUAAAGAUUUAUUUAUGUAUUAUGUGUAAGUACACUGUAGCUGUCUUUAGACACACCAGAAGAGGGCAUCAGAUCCCACAUUACAGGUGGUUGUGAUACCCCAUGUGGUUGCUGAGAUUUGAACUCGGGAGCUUCGGAAGAGCAGUCAGUGCUCUUAACUGCUGAGCCAUCUCUCCAGCCCAUUUUUUUUCUUUAAACACAAAAUUUGUCUACAGAAAUACAAUACAUCCAAUUGUAGCACACGUUAUUUAUUUACUUACCAUACUGGGGGUUUGAAGGGACUCUGACAGCUUGAGCUUGGUGAGCAUGGCUUGGCAGGCCUUGCCCUUCUCCCCCAUUUGUCUUUCUAAAAAGACAUUAUACAUUCCUAAAGCUAGCCCCCAAGGUCUGUUCCUUAAUUUAGCCAAUCCUUUCACCUGAGGUUGAUUACCAAGGUCCAGCUAUCAAAGUGUUGAAGUCCAGCAAUCAAAAGCUCCCUUUGGCUCGCCUAAUUAACAUGCCCAAUUAAAAUUAAACGCCUCAUCCUAACAUGGAGUUUCCCAUUUUACCUUUAUAAACCAUCAUUUCCCUAUGGGCCACAUUUGUCUCCUCUCUAGCCAGAGGCAGUCCUUUGUCCUCAAAUACCCCUUCCCCUUCUCCCUCAUCCACUGUCUCCUGUCUUUGUCUCAUAUUCCAUGCCUUCUGUGGCAAAUCAAUCUUCCUUUGUGCUGAGAACUUGGUUUGGGGCUCCCUGAACCGAUACUUUUCCUAACAGGAUGGAACCCAAGUGUGUGUGUGUGUGUAUGUGUGUGUCUGUGUGUCUGUGUGUGUGUCUGUGUUCUUUGUAAUGACCUUUAAUUACAUAUUGUGUAUAUGUGUAUGUUUCAGAGGUGCUACAGCAUGCAUGUGGAGGGCGGAUGACAACUUGCAGAGUCAGGUUUUUCCCCUCUUCCACCUUUUGGGUCCCAGAGAUGGUCAUCAGGCAUCUUGGCAAGCACCCGCACCCACUGAGACACUUCAUCCACCCUUGUACAUGUGUGUGUGUGUGUGUGUGUGUGUGUGUAUAUAUAUAUAUAUAAUUUAUUAUUGUUCAUGUGUCUGUGUGUGAAGUGCGCAAGCACAUGUUGCCAGGUGUCUGUGGAAGUCAGAGAACAAAUUUGUGGAGUUAGUUCUCUCCUCCCUGGUGUAGAGCUCAGGCCGGGCUUUCCAUGGCAAGUGCCUCUUCCUGAUAAGCCAUCUCAGCUCGGUUCUUGUGCAUAUUUUCCUAUUUAUGUCUGAAGUUUGGAUUAUAUACCACUUAUAUAAUGUUAUUCUUGAAUUCCCUCCUUAGAUGUCCCUUUGAUGGUAUUAAGAAUCUAUCUGCUUAACUUCAUAGUAGUAUCUCUGACCACCUCUUCCUUCACUGUGAACAAGCAGUUUCCUUUGAGCUUUCUCAAGAUCACAGGGAUGCAAAUUGCUGUCCCCAUAUUUUAUUUGUAUUUCUUAUUCGUAGGACACAGUCCCUGGAGUGGAAUGACUGGGUUGAAGGGUAUAGAGCUCUUUUAAGCCUAAGCCAAAACAGUUCCUCAGAAAGGUUUUUGCCAGUUGACAACGAAAGGUCAGAAUCUUUCCGUGGGCUUUGUUCAAACAAACAAAGCAGUUUCUGCAGAGUAGGGACAGAGCUCACAGGUUGGAAGGCAUCCUGGUUAUGGUGCCCUGGUUCUGGUUAUCCCCUCUACUGUGAGAGGGGAGCGGCCGCUGAGCUGCUCUCAGUGGGCAGGCGCUUUUAUGAGCCAAUGAGGGAAAAAGAAUGAUGCUGGGGUAAUGAUUUUGGAGCACAAUUCCUGUCUUGAGCAAAGAAAUCAUCUGUCAGCAAGACCCUGCACUUACUGGGCUCUGUGAAUCUUGCCAGCAAUGCCAACACCCAGCAGUAGAGGUGGGAGGAGGAUCAGGCGUUCAAGACUCUCCAAACUUACACGACCAGUUCCAGACCAGCCUGAGUUAUGUGAGCCGUCUCAAAAAGCCAAAAAAACGCGGACCACAAAAGCAAGAAUCCAAUACUUAGUGAUCCUUCGUGAAAAACCCAACUCCAGACGCUCACAGGACAGCGAAGGAAGGAGGCGGCGACGGCUGCGUGGGAAGUAGAGGCAGCCUGGCCCUUUAAAUCCGCGUCGGUUUCCCAUGACGUAAGCGGGCGGGCACAGCCCGCUGUUUACCGCGGCGCAGCUCCUGGUAGCUCCGAGUUCUGCGCCGCGUCCGCCGCCCUUAAAGGGCCCGCGUCCGGGAAGCCUUCGGGCCAGGGCCACCGCCGCCUCGGCUCUCCGGGCGCGAGCGGACGCCGGGUCUCCAGCCGGGCUGGGCCGGGCUGGGCCGGGCUGGGGUAGCGGGUCGCGGUGCCGCCCUCGCGAGCCGGGAUCCGCGCGAGGCCCAGGAGCGGCUCCAGGGAGGGGACGCGUCCUAUCUGAGGCCGGGGUUAAAGUUCUGGUCCCGGUGAGAUGCUGGAAGCUGCUGCGGCAGCCGCAACGCGCCCGGUCGCCGUCCCGUCGCCAAUCCCCGCCGUCCCGGGCCAUGAUCGCCUGGCGUCUGCCCUUGUGCGUGCUCUUGGUGGCCUCCGUCGAGAGCCACCUGGGGGCCCUGGGGCCCAAGAACGUCUCGCAGAAAGACGCGGAGUUUGAGCGCACCUACGCGGACGACGUCAACAGCGAGCUGGUCAACAUCUACACCUUCAACCACACCGUGACCCGCAACCGGACCGAGGGUGUGCGAGUGUCUGUGAAUGUCCUGAACAAGCAGAAAGGGGCGCCUUUGCUGUUUGUGGUCCGCCAGAAGGAGGCUGUUGUGUCCUUCCAGGUGCCCCUAAUCCUUCGAGGACUAUAUCAGCGGAAGUACCUCUACCAAAAAGUGGAACGAACUCUGUGUCAGCCCCCCACCAAGAAUGAGUCUGAGAUCCAGUUUUUCUAUGUGGACGUGUCUACCCUGUCACCCGUCAAUACCACUUACCAGCUCCGAGUCAACCGUGUGGACAAUUUUGUGCUCAGGACUGGAGAGCUGUUUACUUUUAAUACCACUGCAGCCCAGCCCCAGUACUUCAAAUACGAGUUUCCUGAUGGUGUGGACUCGGUAAUUGUCAAGGUGACCUCCAAGAAGGCCUUCCCCUGCUCAGUCAUCUCCAUCCAAGAUGUCCUGUGCCCUGUCUAUGAUCUGGACAACAAUGUAGCCUUCAUUGGCAUGUACCAGACGAUGACUAAGAAGGCAGCCAUCACUGUGCAGCGGAAAGACUUCCCCAGCAACAGCUUCUAUGUGGUGGUGGUAGUGAAGACUGAGGACCAGGCCUGCGGAGGGUCCUUGCCCUUCUACCCUUUUGUGGAAGAUGAGCCAGUGGAUCAAGGGCACCGUCAGAAAACACUGUCAGUGCUGGUCUCUCAGGCUGUCACAUCUGAGGCCUAUGUUGGUGGGAUGCUCUUUUGCCUGGGCAUAUUCUUGUCCUUCUACCUGCUGACUGUGCUGCUGGCCUGUUGGGAGAACUGGAGGCAAAGGAAGAAGACCUUGCUGUUGGCCAUAGACCGAGCCUGCCCAGAAAGUGGUAUCUGCAGGGGACAGGGGCUGGCUGGAUCUGUUGUGGGGAGAUGGGAGCAGGGAUGGGUAGGGAAUGGUCAGAAGAGGGUGGGUUGGUGGCUUCUUUAUGUUCGGCCUAGGAGUAACAUUUCACAACUGGAACCAGGCCUUGGCUCACCCCUCCAUAGACACCAGGAAACUGCCCUAUGUCUCAGGCAGUGCGGCCCAGCCUCAGGUUGUUAACUUCCAAUUCUCUCUCUCUCUUCCAUCACUUCUCUCUGCCCUCCCUCCUGCUUGGACCUCUCUCUCAGCUUCUCUCCUUGGUCACGCCCGGGUCUUGGCUGAUUCAUUUCCUGGCAGUGCCCCUUACGAGGGUUACAACUAUGGCUCCUUUGAAAAUGGUUCCGGAUCCACUGACGGGUUGGUUGAAAGCGCAGGUUCAGGGGACCUCUCCUACAGUUACCAGGACCGCUCCUUUGACGCAGUGGGUCCUCGGCCUCGACUGGACUCCAUGAGCUCCGUGGAAGAGGAUGACUACGACACACUGACUGACAUCGACUCAGACAAAAACGUCAUUCGAACCAAGCAAUACCUCUGUGUGGCUGAUCUGGCACGAAAGGACAAACGUGUUUUGCGGAAAAAGUACCAGAUUUACUUCUGGAACAUAGCCACCAUUGCGGUCUUCUACGCACUUCCUGUGGUGCAGCUGGUGAUCACCUACCAGACGGUGGUGAAUGUCACAGGGAACCAGGACAUCUGCUACUACAACUUCCUCUGUGCCCACCCGCUGGGCAACCUCAGCGCCUUCAACAACAUCCUCAGCAACUUGGGGUACAUCCUGCUGGGGCUGCUCUUCCUGCUCAUCAUCCUGCAGCGAGAGAUCAAUCAUAACCGGGCCCUGCUGCGGAAUGACCUCUAUGCUCUGGAGUGUGGGAUCCCCAAACACUUUGGUCUGUUUUACGCCAUGGGCACAGCACUGAUGAUGGAGGGGCUACUUAGUGCCUGUUACCACGUCUGCCCCAACUACACCAACUUCCAGUUUGAUACCUCCUUCAUGUACAUGAUUGCUGGCCUCUGCAUGCUGAAGCUCUACCAGAAGCGGCACCCAGAUAUCAACGCCAGUGCCUACAGUGCAUAUGCCUGCUUGGCCAUCGUCAUCUUCUUCUCCGUUCUGGGCGUGGUGUUUGGCAAAGGGAACACGGCCUUCUGGAUUGUCUUCUCCGUCAUUCACAUCAUCUCCACCCUGCUCCUCAGCACUCAGCUCUAUUACAUGGGCCGCUGGAAGCUGGACUCCGGGAUCUUCCGCCGCAUCCUCCAUGUGCUCUACACAGACUGCAUCCGGCAGUGCAGCGGGCCCCUUUACACGUCCCCGUGUCUCUGCUUCCCUCCAGGACCGCAUGGUGCUUCUGGUCAUGGGCAACAUUAUCAACUGGUCGCUGGCUGCAUACGGACUCAUCAUGCGCCCCAAUGACUUUGCUUCCUACUUGCUGGCAAUUGGCAUCUGCAACCUGCUGCUUUAUUUCGCCUUCUACAUCAUCAUGAAGCUCCGGAGCGGCGAGAGGAUCAAGCUCAUCCCUCUGCUCUGCAUCGUCUGCACCUCCGUGGUCUGGGGCUUCGCGCUCUUCUUCUUCUUCCAGGGACUGAGCACGUGGCAGAAAACCCCCGCAGAGUCCAGGGAGCACAACCGCGACUGCAUCCUCCUCGACUUCUUUGAUGACCACGAUAUCUGGCACUUCCUGUCCUCCAUUGCCAUGUUUGGGUCCUUCCUGGUUUUGCUGACGUUGGAUGACGACUUGGACACAGUACAGCGGGACAAGAUCUAUGUCUUCUAGCAGCAUCUGUGGUCCAGGCUUCACCUCACAGGCCUAGCGCCUGCCUCUGCAUCACCUGCCAGUUGCCACAAGAACACCACGGGUAUGAGUCCCAGCUCUGCUGCCCAGCAUUGGAUGUCGUGGCAAGACAGCGAGAUUCCAGCCCAGGCCUGACUCAGGAUAGUUCCUGGUGGCACUGAGCCUUGGAGUUGCCUCUGCGGAGGAGGAGGCCUGCUCCGCAUUCCCCAGACACUGGCCAAAUUGCUGCUUUCUUCUCAGUGUUGGGUCCUCCCCAGGACCCUAGUCUGUCCAUCUGUCUUGUUUAUCCACUGGCUCUCCAUUUGUCCCUUUGGAGAGGAAGGUGGGAAGGCAAUGUCCUGUCCCAUUUCAUGCCUUGCAUUCUGCCCAUCCCUUCCCUCCUCUCAGCUUAGGACACACAGCCCUUUCUUCUUCCCAUGCUCUGUCCAGGACCACAGUCUGGUGCCUGAUUCUUUGUCCAUCACCAGGACCUAAGCUCUCCCUGGGUCUGUAGCUGGCUGCUAUCACUGCCCACUCUGACCUGCCAGGACAGAUGCAGGUAGGAGACUUUGGGGGCUGGCCAGCUGGUGCCAGGCUUUCGGUGCUAAGGCCUGCAAGGGGCCUAGGUACGACCCUCCUCCCUGACCUGUGCUUGGAGCUGGCUCUUCAGCAGUGAGGGCCAGCCCAAGUUGAGUCUUCUGAUCGGGGACUGAAUUCAGAGGCCACCUCAUCCCACCAGCCACUAGAAUGAUGCCAGCACUAGGGUUGGUGGGAAGUGGCAACUCACUGUCCCCUUCCACACCCUCAGUCCUGCCAAGCCCCAGAUGGGGGCCUCUCAGUGCCAUUGACACUGCCCAAGAAUGUCUAGAGGCCACGGAACGGUGCCAAGCACACAGUCCCUUUUGCCUCUUUCACGGGAGCAGGAGUCCCAGUGCCUGUCGUGGAAAGGGAGGAACAUGCCAGGUCCCUGUGUGUCCUUGGCCCUGUCUCACCAAAGGACUCAGGGCUGGUUUCUGAGUUUCCGUCCAGUAUUUAGCCAAGUUCUGUGUUAGUCACGUAGGCCUAAGAGCCUUGGCGUUUACAGAGUCACCCAGCUCUGGCCCCUGGCCAUUCUGGUCCUUGGCGUUUACAGAGUCACCCAGCUCCAGGCCCCUGGCCACUUUGGUACUUGGUUGCCCUUCACUCCACCAGGUCCAUUCCAGAUGCCAAGAGUGGGCCCCAGGAAUGUGUUUCCUUCUCUCCACCAUGUUUUUAUAGCUCUUGGGCUGGGAGAAGAGGCGGGUCUGGGUCUUUGUUUCUGAGCUUUGUUCUAUGUUCCUCCAUGCUACGGUUGCAAUUGUUUUCUAUGAACGAGUACAUUCAAUAAAGACAACCAGACCUGGGAUUUGGGGUCUUACUGA